GUAACAGGCAUCUAUGUUUCUUUGACCUAUGGAAUCCAGUUCCAUCUGAAUUUUCUGGCUCAUAAUGGGGAAUAUUGCCUCCAUUGCCAGAGAUUUGCCAAAUAGCUAAAUCUGAGAACUGGCUUUAUGGUGGAUCAAAUCUCUUUGAAAAAUUUUUAGACAUUUUUGAAUCUUUGCAGGAUCUCUAUUAAUUCCCCCGGCCCCUUCCCACACACAUAUAGAAUCUUUAAUUUUGCUCAGUUUCAGCUUUGAUUAAUAGUCUUCCAUGUUCAACUAUCCUAUAACUGCAAUAGAGUGAUUUGGUGUUAUUUUUCAGUAAUUACUCUGUGUGAUGUGCUUUGUCUUAAACACCUCCUUAGAAGAU
rnacentral:lncRNA from 1 species